rnacentral:sRNA from 1 species
CCCACGGCUUGCGCCGUGGGCUAAAAUCUUGCGCCCCCUUCGACAAGCUCAGGGCAGGCUCUCCGGGGCU